GUUUUUUCUUCUAAAAAACUCAGACUCAAAAUUUUGCAUUUGUUCAUGAAAGAGUGAGAGAAAAAUACAUGUUAAUAAGUGUUAGUGAAGGAUAAAGAUUACAGCAGAAUUGUGUCGAUCAAGUAAGCUGUGAAUUUUUUUUAAUCUGUGGCUCAACCGGGGCAUUUAGAUCAUUUUGAAACAUUCCGAUAAGGUGUGCAGUGACAAUUAAUAAGCUUGAAGACAAUAUUAACGUAUCAAAGCCGUUAGGAAUAUAAAUAAGCAAUCGACUCUUAACGUUUUAAACAUUAAAAGAACAUUCUUUAAAAAUUAUCAGUAAUAUUUAAUACUUUAUUUGGAUAAAUAAAGAGAAAACGAUUUUCAGUCCUCCAUGCAAUUGGGUUCUGACCCGGAGUCUUGGUCAUAGAACUAUUAAGCUCUACUAGGCAGCUUUGCGGCAGCAGUGCGUCAGACCUGACAUUGAAGAGGUUCACUGAAAAUAGUUGACUUUUUACUUGGAUAAGUGGAGUCGCGAGUCUAAAAUUUGCACUAUAAUAUUGAGCUGGAUUCUCAAUUUUGUUGUUAGUUAUCUUAAAGGAUAAGCAGUUUUUGCAGUUUCGGAAAUUGAGUUUGAUUCUCAUAAAAAUUUGCGAUAUUAAAUAGUCUUUUGAAAUGUUCUUUCUUUAGUUGAAACAUUUAGAGAAGAUUUUCUAUUUAUAUUUUCGCUGAGUACUAAAUAGAGACCAACCAUCUAGAGUGCGACGACAGACAAACAUCGUUAAAGGUGGAUACAGAACGAAAAAUGUUAACUGGGCAACUAAUGACGCAAAAACGUGUGGGAGCUGUUAUGAAUAUAAAUAAGUAAUCGACUCUCAAAGUUUUAACAAUUGAAAGGACACUUUUUUAUAAUAACUAAAUUUAACACUUUACUUGGAUAAGUAAUGAGGAAGCGAUUUUUAGUCUCUCAUGCAAUUGGGUUCUGACCCGGAGUCUUGGUCAUAGAACUAUUAAGCUCUAUUAGGCAGCUUUGCGGCAGCAGUGCGUCAGACCUGACAUUGAAGAGGUUCACUGAAAAUAGUUGACUCUUUACUUGGAUAAGUGGAGUCGCGAGUCUAAAAUUUGCACUUUAAUAUUGAGCUGGAUUCUCAAUUUUGUUGUUAGUUAUCUUAAAGGAUAAGCAGUUUUGCAGUUUCGGAAAUUGAGUUCGAUACUCAUAAAAAUUUGCGAUAUUUAAUGGUCUUUUGGAAUGUUCUUUCUUUAGUUGAAACAUUUAGAGAAGAUUUUCUAUUUAUAUUUUCGCUGGAUACUAAAUAGAGACAAAUCAUCUAGAGUGUGACGACAGACAAACAUCGUUAAAGGUGGAUACAGAACGAGACAUGUUAACUGGGCAACUAAUGACGCAAAAACGUGUGGGAGCUGUUAUGAAUAUAAAUAAGUAAUCGACUCUCAAAGUUUUAACAAUUGAAAGGACACUUUUUUAUAAUAACUAAAUUUCACACUUUACUUGGAUAAGUAAUGAGGAAGCGAUUUUUAGUCCCCCAUGCAAUUGGGUUCUGACCCGGAGUCUUGGUCAUAGAACUAUUAAGCUCUACUAGGCAGCUUUGCGGCAGCAGUGCGUCAGACCUGACAUUGAAGAGGUUCACUGAAAAUAGUUGACUCUUUACUUGGAUAAGUGGAGUCGCGAGUCUAAAAUUUACACUAUAAUAUUGAGCUGGAUUUUCAAUUUUGUUGUUAGUUAUCUUAAAGGAUAAGCAGUUUUGCAGUUUCGGAAAUUGAGUUUGAUACUCAUAAAAAUUUGCGAUAUUUAAUAGUCUUUUGGAAUGUUCUUUCUUUAGUUGAAACAUUUAGAGAAGAUUUUCUAUUUAUAUUUUCGCUGGAUACUAAAUAGAGACAAAUCAUCUAGAGUGUGACGACAGACAAACAUCGUUAAAGGUGGAUACAGAACGAGACAUGUUAACUGGGCAACUAAUGACGCAAAAACGUGUGGGAGCUGUUAUGAAUAUAAAUAAGUAAUCGACUCUCAAAGUUUUAACAAUUGAAAGGACACUUUUUUAUAAUAACUAAAUUUCACACUUUACUUGGAUAAGUAAUGAGGAAGCGAUUUUUAGUCCCCCAUGCAAUUGGGUUCUGACCCGGAGUCUUGGUCAUAGAACUAUUAAGCUCUACUAGGCAGCUUUGCGGCAGCAGUGCGUCAGACCUGACAUUGAAGAGGUCCACUGAAAAUAGUUGACAUCUUACUUGGAUAAGUGGAGUCGUGAGUCCAAAAUUUGCACUUUAAUAUUGAGCUGGAUUCUCAAUUUCGUUGUUAGUUAUCUUAAAGGAUAAGCAGUUUUUGCAGUUUCGGAAAUUGAGUUUGAUUCUCAUAAAAAUUUGCGAUAUUAAAUAGUCUUUUGAAAUGUUCUUUCUUUAGUUGAAACAUUUAGAGAAGAUUUUCUAUUUAUAUUUUCGCUGGGUACUAAAUAGAGACUAAUCAUCUAGAGUAUGACGACAGACAAACAGUGUUAAAGGUGGAUACAGAACGAGGCAUUUUAAGAUAAGAUUUUCUAUAUGUAUUCUCGCUGUUUGGAUUACUAAUAAGAGACCAUGGACGCAUCUAGAGUAUGACGACUGAUAUGUUUGGAGACUGUGGCGACCACCAGUAAUGCCAAGAAUUUUUAAGAACACUUAUUCUGUUUGUUGUAAAUUCCGUCUGAACGUUAACUCAGAAUAGGACAAUUAUGUAUAUAUUGUCAAAAUUUAAAUUGUAUCAAAUGUAUCAUAUAUAAACAUUAGAUUCUUAGUAUUUUAACUAUUAAAGGAAGCAUCAUGAGUCUAAAAUGUGCGUAAUCAUUUAAUAUGUGUAAAAUUGUUGACGUUGAGUGUGAAAUGUAAUCCGUAUAAUGUAUACGUAGUCCCUGUAAGACGUAACAUAGGACGUAUAACGCAAUUAGCAAAAAUGUUCAUUCUUUGGUUAUAACAUUUCGCGAGUUAAAUUGUUACAUUGAUCGUAAAAUGUAAUCCGUAAAACGCAUAACGUAGUCCGUCAAUCGUAUAACGUAGACCGUAUAACGCAUUAGCAAAAAUACGUAUAACGUCGAACGUAACGCAAAAACGUAGAGCGUAGAACGUAAGUCAUACCAUGGUUAACGUAGCAAUUCGUUGAAACUUGUAUAAUAAUCUUGUAAACCGCAAAUUGCAGAAAUACGUUUAACAUAAAACGCAUCGGUAUCGUUGCAUAAAACGUAAGCCGUUUACGUGAAACGUCACAAUUUUAGUAUAUUGUUUUGAAAUUAAAUUAAAUAAAUUUCAAAAUUUGCGUUGUUAAAUAUUUAUCUUAAAUAUUCCUUUUUUAGUUAAAACAUUUACAAAAGUUUUUUGAUGUAUUUAUAGUUGUUUAGAUUUUAGUAAAUUAUAAUUUAGUAUAGGACGUGCAUUUAAUUACCUUGCAAUAAAUAACAUUGUUUUUUCUAUAUAUCUUUUAAUGUAAUUUAAUAGUACGUCAAAUAUUUCCGAUAAAUUCAAAGGGUGUUGUAAGAGACGAACAUGUAAAUAAAUAUUCGAUUCUUAUUAUUUUUACUAUUAAAGGAGAAAUUUUGAACAGUUUUUGUAGAGUAAGGUUUGUUACAAACUUUAACAUUUUUUAUCUCGUUUUCUGUCUGUUUAAGAAAUCGACUUAUUAUUUAGAAAUACUUCUACUGGACAUAUCUGAUUUAGGAUAAGUUAUGAAACAUCCUGUAUAAACAUAUUAUCCAAAUUUGAUGUUAUUUUAUUUCUAAUAUGAUUGUAAUGCAAAGUGAACAUAUUGUUAAUUGA